CGGCUUUCUGGACGCCAUCCCCUCCUCACCUCGAAGCCAACAUGAAGGAGACCCGGGGCUACGGAGGGGGUGCCUCCUUCUGCACCCGCCCCAACCACUCCUACACUGGCAUGUGGGCACCCGAGCGCUCCGCCGAGGCGCGGGUCACCCUUACGCGCCCUCUAGGGUCCGGCGAGGAUUGCGGAUCGGUGUCCGUGGCCUUCCUGAUCACCAUGCUGCUCACGGGUUUCGUGGGCAACGCUCUGGCCAUGCUGCUAGUGUCGCGCAGCUACCGGUGCUGGGAGAGCAAGCGCAAGAAGUCCUUCCCGCUGUGCAUCGGAUGGCUGGCGCUCAGCGACCUGGUCGGGCAGCUUCUCACCACCCCGGUGGUCAUCGUCGUGUACCUGUCCAAGCAGCGCUGGGAGCAGCUCGACCCAUCGGGGCGGCUCUGCACGUUCUUCGGGUGUUCCGGCUCUCCUCGCUGUUCAUCGCCAGCGCCAUGGCCGUCGAGCGGGCGCUGGCCAUCAGGGAGCCGCACUGGUACGCGCGCCACCUGCGCUGUGCUGCUCGGCGUGUGGCUGGCCGUGCUCGCCUUCUCCCUGCUGCCCGUGCUGGGAGUGGGACAGUACACGGUGCAGUGGCCCGGGAUGUGGUUCUUCAUCAGCACCAGGCGAGGGGGGCAACGGGACUAGCUCUUCCCAUAACGGGGGCAACAUUUUCUUCCCCUCUGCCUUUGCCUUCCUUGGGCUCUUGGCGCUGACAAUCACCUUUGCCUGCAACCUGGCCACCAUUAAGGGCCUGGUGUCCCGCUGCCGGGCCAAGGCCACGGCAUCUCAGUCCAGUGCCCAGUGGGGCCACAUCACGACCGAGACCGCCAUUCAGCUCAUGGGUAUCAUGUGCAUGCUGUCGGUCUGCUGGUCUCCGCUACUGAUAAUGAUGUUAAAAAUGAUCUUCAAUCAGACAUCAGUUGAACACUGCAAGACACACACGGAGAAGCAGAAAGAAUGCAACUUCUUCUUAAUAGCUGUUCACCUGGCUUCACUGAACCAGAUCUUAGAUCCUUGGGUUUAUCUGCUGUUAAGAAAGAUCCUUCUUCAAAAGUUUUGCCAGGUAGCAAAUGCUGUCUCCAGCUGCUCUAAUGAUAGACAGAAAGGGCAGCCUAUCUCAUUAUCUAAUGAAAUAAUACAGGCAGAAUCAUGAAAA